AUGGUGUCUGGCGCAGCUGGUUCGGCCGUCUCUCACGGGACGGCCGAGGCAAGAGGGAACCCGGUGGGAAUCCGGGACUGCCCCGCAGCGGUGAGUGGGAACGACCGCCGUCAUCAGCACUGGGCCACCGAUGGCCUGGGAAGCGACGGCCAGUAGGCGACCGGUUCCGCCGGUUGUGCCCACGAGUCCGAAGACCUGCCAGCGCGUCGCACGCCCC
rnacentral:ncRNA from 2 species